rnacentral:lncRNA from 1 species
UUGUAACAUUAUAUAGCCAAUUCUGAAUUUUUUUCUACUGUAUAGGUAUAUAAUCUGUGUUGUAAUUGUUAGUAUCAAAAUAGCAUUUAUAAAGAAGAAAGGAGCUUUUUGAUAUUAUGAAACAAAAUCAACAAUAACUGUUUAGUAAAAUUUCUGAACUGAGUAUGGACGAGAUCCUCCAAAUAUUAAAAACAUCAAAGGUCAGUAUGCAAAGUUUAAAGAAACUGGCAGUGUUGGUAUCCUUUAAAAAAACUGUCAGGCUUAAUGUAACAAUACUGUUGAUACUAUGCAUGAUGUUUUUCAAUGAAGUUAUUAGAAAUUUACUUUUCAUAUCUCAGAGCAUAUUGCUUAAAAUUAUACACAAAUGGCUUCAUUUAUAUGCCUAUAAACUGUAAAUCAUUCAAGCCUUGGAGCCAGACAAUUGUCCUUGAUGUUCUGCUUUUACCAUGGAGAGUUUGCAACAAAUUUUGAUGAAGACAAUGAUUACCUUAAAAGUGUGUUUAUCUGAUGGCUAUAUUUCAUACCACCAGGAAAGAUAAACAUAAUGUUUGUAUUUGGGGUCAGAGAACCCAUGGGUUAUUUUAGAGAAAGAGAGGGAUAUUGCUAAAGUGAAUGCCUAAUGAACAACAAGGCCAUUGGAUCUUUCAUUUUUUUUAAUAAAUUCACCAUUUCAGCAAAUAUUUACCUUGACAUGAUGGAGCUAUAUAUUGCAACUCGGAAACUACUCACUUUGCCAUGAGUAGUUUUGUAAUAAGAUAGUGCACUAUCACACUGGAGUUUAGAUGUUCAUCAGUUCUUGGUUACAAUGUUUCCCAACUGAUGAAUUAGAAGAAUUAUUUAACACCAUAGUCAUUACAUUCCCUGAACAUUAUCUUUCUUGACUUCUUCUAUGAGGAUUUAUUAAGGACAAUGUAUUAAAACCAUUUCUUGAUAUUUGAACUUUGAAGAUAAAGGUAACUAAUAACUAUGACAAUUAAUGCUUUAGCAUUGGUGGCUGAUGAGAUGUUGAAGAAAACAUGGAGAGAAAUUGAAUAUCAACUAGAUAUUCUCUGGG